UCUCCAACCGGAGAUGGCGUAUCAGACUCUGCAGUUCUUUCAUAACUGGUGUCCGUCAUCGUUACUCGUGGACCUGGCACAAGAACAUGAUGAGUAAUGCAUGCAGUGUUGAGUGCAUGAUACAGCCAAAAUUGCAGCCCAUUGUGAGGUUUCUGGAUCAGUGAUAAGCAUUCAAAAGUGGUUGAUGGCUGAACAUGGAAUUAAUGCAGCAGUGAAUGCUUGAACAAUAGCGAACUGCUGCCAAACCUUAAUGACAAUAGGUUUUAUCACUGAUAAGACAAGAUCAGAUGACCAUCAUCCUCACAGACUUCUGAGAACAUUACUUCUGUGAAUGAAGAGUUCACAAGAAGCCCACUGAAAUCAGUGUUUGCAGGUGCUCUUGAAAGCAGGUUCAAACAUUAUGCAGUUAAGACCAUCCUAGGAAAGAACUGUCUUUUAAACCUUGGAAACUCCAUUAUGUGCAACAGUUAUUUCCUGAUGACUGUGGCAGAUGGAAGGAAUUAGCAGAAUCGUUUCUGGGAUGGAAUUACAAAUGUCCACAGUUGUUUCAUAACAUUCUUUGGAGUGACAAGGCAGUGUUUCAUGUUGGCAGAUUCGUGAAUCGACACCAACUGGCAUUACUAGGAAUCUGAAAAUCCAGAUAAUUGUAUGGAAAAGGCUCACAGUUGUCCAGAAGUAACAAGCUGGUGUAGUAUCACAGUGACCACGUUUGUUGGACUAUGCCUUUUGUUUGACAUGAUGAAUGCUGCAAGAUACUUCAAAGUGUUGCAAGACCAUGUGUGGCCAAAUCUCCAAGAGACUAAGAGAUAUUACAAUAGCAACAUUGGUCAAAGUGUGUUUGGAAUAUUAAGCUGCGAAAAAGAUGUGGGAGGAGUCAUGGGAACAGCUCUCAGGUCACACCAACAGUGAGAGAAAAUUGUGUGUGACAUGCAAAGAAGCUGAUGGAGAUCUGGAAAGCAGAAACCUCUAUAUAAAAUAGGGAAGCUGUGGACCCUGUUAUGUUAGAGCCAGUGAGCAAACAUGGCUACUUCGUCGCUAGAUCAUGACAUACACCAUUACAUUAUCACUGAAAAGUUACUACAGUCCAUUCACGGAGACGAGAGAGUCCUCAUAAACAAAUGCAUGUGGUGUCUCCUUCACUCUUUGAAUGAAAUCAUGCAGUGAUCACGUGAUGCAUGUUUCGUUGCAGGGGCGUCCAAAGUUCACUCUUCAGUCUGAAUGCAGGUUAACGUGCGUCCGAAUGCAGUGAGUACACUG